rnacentral:rRNA from 1 species
AGAGUUUGAUCCUGGCUCAGNNNGAACGCUGGCGGCAGGCUUAACACAUGCAAGUCGAACGCACCGCAAGGUGAGUGGCAGACGGGUGAGUAACGCGUGGGAACGUGCCCUUCAGUUCGGGAUAACCCAGGGAAACUUGGGCUAAUACCGGAUACGUGCGAGAGCAGAAAGAUUCAUCGCUGAAGGAUCGGCCCGCGUCUGAUUAGCUAGUUGGUAGGGUAAUGGCCUACCAAGGCGACGAUCAGUAGCUGGUCUGAGAGGAUGAUCAGCCACAUUGGGACUGAGACACGGCCCAAACUCCUACGGGAGGCAGCAGUGGGGAAUAUUGGACAAUGGGCGCAAGCCUGAUCCAGCCAUGCCGCGUGAGUGAUGAAGGCCUUAGGGUUGUAAAGCUCUUUCGUCCGGGACGAUAAUGACGGUACCGGAAGAAGAAGCCCCGGCUAACUUCGUGCCAGCAGCCGCGGUAAUACGAAGGGGGCUAGCGUUGUUCGGAAUCACUGGGCGUAAAGGGCGCGUAGGCGGCCUGAUAAGUCGGGGGUGAAAGCCUGUGGCUCAACCACAGAAUUGCCUUCGAUACUGUCGGGCUUGAGACCGGAAGAGGUAAGUGGAACUGCGAGUGUAGAGGUGAAAUUCGUAGAUAUUCGCAAGAACACCAGUGGCGAAGGCGGCUUACUGGUCCGGUUCUGACGCUGAGGCGCGAAAGCGUGGGGAGCAAACAGGAUUAGAUACCCUAGUAGUCC